ACGUAGGACCCGAGCGUUGUCCGGAUUUACUGGGUAUAAAGGGUGCGUAGGCGGCCUUGUGCGUCAGAGGUGAAAUAUCCGGGCUUAACCCGGAGGGUGCCUUUGAUACGGCAGGGCUUGAGUGCGAGAGAGGAUGAUGGAAUUCCUGGUGUAGCGGUGAAAUGCGUAGAUAUCAGGAGGAACACCGGUGGCGAAGGCGGUCAUCUGGCUCGUAACUGACGCUGAGGCACGAAAGCGCGGGGAUCAAACAGGAUUAGAUACCCUGGUAGUCCGCGCCCUAAACGAUGUAUGCUUGGUGUUGGGUCCGCAAGGGCUCAGUGCCGUAGGGAAUCUGAUAAGCAUACCACCUGGGGAGUACGAUCGCAAGGUUG
rnacentral:rRNA from 1 species